CCGCUCCCAGCUGCCCAGUCUGGCGGGCUCAGUCCCGCGUUGCCAUGUGUGGGAGACCGCGUCCCGAAAGAGCUCCACCUUCGCUGGAGUGUGCAGAUGCGAUCUAGGUGUGUCCACCCGAUGGGAGCUGCGGGCCGGGCAGAUGCUGCCCCAGUACAAAGCUGAUUUGGACCUGGGGCCUCUGGACUUCCCUGAUUCUCUGCUUGCAUCUCCAGCAAAGUCCUGUCCCAUUGGCUGCCUUCAUCCACUCUCUCGCCUCUCUGCCUUCAGAGUAAAAUUGCAAGAUCUGUGGUGCUUACUGGGAUCUGAUAGAGUCUCUCGGCAUCCACUGUCUAUGCAGCGGGUGUCCACCUGCAGCGGGGGGCCAUGUGCAGCGGGGGGCCACGUGCAGUGUGUGCCUCUUCUUAGCCAUGCUGGACAGCGCCGCCCCUGAAAAGCAGCUCCCCUGUUUCACCCAGAAAGCCAUCCAGAACCUCCUGGAAAAGGUGGCCUGAUGGCCAGGUGGCCUGAUGGCCAAGUGGCCUGGGAUGCCAGGAUCAAUCCUUUGAACUUUUCCUGUGGGCUGUCAGGACCCAUAGAAGGUCUUUGAGCAGCUCAUAGGUCUCUGAAUCAAGAGAAGCCACAUCUGGACCUGAUAUAGAAGAGACUAUUAGAGAUCCUGGGCUUGAGGCUGAUUCCAUGUCAGAUGGGUCACUUAGGUGGUCUCCCUUGGGAAGGGGAUGCAUUUAUUUUGCAUAUGGAAGAAAAUGCAAAGGCAAUAUUUGUAAGGAAGAGGGCAGACGGGGGAAGAUUUUAUAAUUGUUCAAAAACAUUCACUGGGAUGUGUGUGGUGGCUCACGCCUAUAAUCCCAGUGCUUUGGGAGGGUGAAGCAGGAGGAUCACUUGAGGCCAGG
rnacentral:lncRNA from 1 species